GGACGGGAGCCGGAUACGGCUUGGCCGGGCCGCUCUGCUAAAGCGGUUGCCCUUAAACGGGUAUGUGGGUUCGAAUCCCACCCCCUCCG
rnacentral:tRNA from 1 species